CCAGUCCUACCUGUGUUACUGUUUCUGCCCAGUAGGAGUCAGGCUUCACCUGCAUAAUGAUGUGGCACUCAACUGUCUAUUUCAGGAUGAUUCAAAUAUUUAUAAGGAUAGAAUCACUUUCAUAUUAAGUAAAGGGAGAGCAUAAGAGAGAAAGAAAGACGUGGAGGUUUGGCAAAAUACAUGAUCUUAUACCUCCACGGAAAGAUGUGGUAUAGAUUGGGAAGACCUUGGUUAACCCUCUCUGGCACAUUAGACCCAUAACAACUUUUCGGUGCUAAUUUAGGGUCUCCACAUAGGAUGUGACAUCACAGUGUUUCCUGUUGGCAUGCGGCCAGCCUGUGUUUGUGUCCAAAAGCAGUGAAGGGUUUCUACUCUCUCACGCAGCAUACUGUAAAGAAGAGGCCAUCUUUAAAGGAAACUGCUUCUCGGCGGGUCAAAGGGCAGUGUUUUUUCCCCCACACUGCAGCUGGGGACACUCUGGGGACAGUGUGACAUGCACAGGACACAUAAAAAAAAAAGCCUGUUUCGUUUAAAGUGUAACGAGUUCAGAAAGCAAGCUGUAAAACAUAUGAGGUGGUCAAUGAGGGGAUGAGAACAGGAGGAAACACGAUUUCACAAACAGGAUCAACAUGCCUCCAAAGGGAAUGUUAAUGUUGCUGUUGGUGGUGUGCGUGUGCAUGUGUGCAAGCGCGUGGGUGUGAAUUUGGGUGUUUGCAGGUGUGCAUGUGUGAAUGCAUGGGUACUGUGUAUUUCCAUACAAGGUCCGGUGUAUGUAAUGUAUUAUAAUGAUGUAACUGUGCAUCUCAGCCCAUGAGAAGUACACUUUGUCAUUAACCACAGUAUGACCUGUGAAUCUGUAUGUAARCCAUCAUAGAAUAAAAGAAAGAGAGCUGUGCAGGGAUKAAACGGUUACCGGUUUCACGAUCAACCACAGUAAAAUUCCCGGCGAUUAGUAUUACCGUUUCAAAUUUUAAUUGUCAUUAAAMCCGUGUUUGAUUACCACGGUUUGGAAAAACUCACGGUAAAUACUGUCCAGCAUCAACCAAAUUUAACAACAGUCAGCAUGCAACGUGGGUUUUGUUUWGUGUGAAAACAUGGCGGAAGGCAGUGACAGCGCUCGGGAGAUUUUUCAGCCUUCCAAGAGGACCACCUCUGAAGUGUGGUCGUAUUUUGGGUUUUUACAAGAGUGCUGAGGGAARCUUCAUCGAAGAUGAUCACCUUGUCUGCAGAACAUGCAACAACAACCAAAAAUUGCUGCGAAAGGGAGCAACACUUCAAACCUCUUGGGUCAUCUUCAUGACCACCACCCACUACUUUAUAGCGAAUGCAAGAGUGGGUGUGCAGCAGGCAAACUCAGUGAUGCUACUGGUCCCUCAUCUACAGUUGUGACACAGACACUUGAGCAAGCGUUUAAAAGGACAGGCUGCUUAUGCACCCACAUCAAAAAAAAUGCUCAAGAYCUCACUGUAGCCCUUUCUUAUUACAUUGCAAAGGACAUGAUGCCAUUUCAAAUUGUUGAGAGGCCUGGCUUUCUGAGGCUGAUGAAGGUUGCCGUGCCUCACUACGAAGUGAGUGCUGCUAAAUGUAUUUGUUGUUUAUUUAUUUGAUUUGCUUACUGAAGGUUGUGUUCAUUUAAAACUGCGCUAGGGAAACUUUUACCUCUCACGGCCACAUGGUGCCACCUUUAAUGUUAUUAUUUGAAUGUUCAUGCCCACAAAAAGUGCAUAGUGCCGCUCAUUGUAUUUGUUGUUUGUUGGUUUUCAAUAUAAAACAUGGUGAAAUGA